rnacentral:rRNA from 1 species
UGUGUAGGCGGUUAGACACGUCAGAUGUGAAAUCCCCGGGCUUAACCUGGGAAUGGCAUUUGAUACGGUUUAGCUAGAGAUUGGUAGAGGGUAGCGGAAUUGCGAGUGUAGAGGUGAAAUUCGUAGAGAUUCGCAGGAACACCGGUGGCGAAGGCGGCUACCUGGGCCAAUACUGACGCUGAGGCACGAAAGCGUGGGGAGCAAACA